GGGAGAUUUCACGAGACAGAGGAGCCUGUCAGGCUACAGUCCAUGGGAUCGCAAAGAGUCAGACAUGAUUUGGUGACUAAACUACCAGUUUCUUCAGAAGGAAACUGAUAAAUUGGGGCAUGCGUUCGGAGCUGUUUGUUACAGGGCGAUGGAGCUGCUGUGAUUCAUCCUCCUUCUCUUGCUGGGAAUCCAUGUGACCAAAUGGCCUCUAUGAAAAAGCCGCAUGACCUUGACCUUUCCCCACGGGCCACACAGAUGCGCAUGUGGCGAGGAGCCAAGGCAAGUCGGGGACAGUUGGGUGCUUGUGGAGUCAAGCCAUGGUGUCCAAAUCCAGUUAAUCAAGCUGCCCAGGUCCAGCUCCCUGACUUUAGUCCGCAGCAGGUAUAACACCCACCAACAGAUGAGAAGUUGCAGAAGUAACUCAGUCAUAAACAUCUUGUCUCUGAAAAGAGAAAAUACCUAUAAAAGUGCCUGGCUCAUGUUAGGGCCUUAAUGGAUGUUUGUGGAAAGUAUUGUUGUUGGAAUGAACCCAGCCAUGAAAGAUCUUGUCUCCCUUCCUGACUCUUAGGUAGUUAGUCAAUUCAGCUGGAGGAAAAAGAAAAAAGAGAGCUGAACUACUUUUUAGACAUAAUAAUAAUUUCUAUUUUCGGUGGUGUUUUCCAGUUUGUAGAGUGCUCCUACAUCAAUAGCGCUUUUGAUUUUUGAGCAGCACUGCAGAGGCAGAGAAUGGUAGAGAGAGAACUCAGAGAUGGCCGGUGCUUUUCAAGGUCGCACGGUCAAGGCAGAGAAUGAAAUCCAAAUUCAGGCUUCUUCUCAAGAAACUGGAGCUGAAGUUUCUUGGCCUCGUUGGUCAGUUUCAUUUUUCAACAUUUCAAAGGAUUAGACUGAUGUUCUAAUUUAAUCAAAAGAAGAUUGGAGUUUGAAACAUCACAUAUGGGGCUUGGCCAACCAAGCCACAAUUCCUAAACCAAAACGAAGGGAUAAACUAAGCCUAAGAGCAGAGAACCCAGUGUUUGAGGGAGAAGAUGGUGAAGGGUGCAGUUUGGAACCACAUUCUUGCUUCAGCAGUUUCAUCCUCUGAACACAGGGGUGAUGUUACUAUUAUAGGAGAUUGUAGUAAGGACUUGAAGGGUUACUGCAUUCUCAGUGUCUAGCACAGUGCUUGGCACAGAGUAGGUGAUUAUUAAAAGCAAUUUUUCUAUUGCUCAUUUCCUUCUGUUUCUCUUUCUCUCAUCCUCUUGGCAUCAUUGUCUUCAUUCUCAUUUGCUCAGGAAAGUACAAGCGUUCUCUCACAAGAACACAGGACUUAGACCACUCAUGGGAUCCAAACAGAGGCUCAGAGAUUCAGAAGGUGGACUGCUGAGAACCAGCUGGGGACCCCGUAAGCUCCAGGGCUCAGGAAGUCUGAAUGGAAAGGUGGGAUUUUUCACAUCCCCUCCCCUUACCAGACCAGAUCAGAAAGAUGACGGAGGAGACUCCUAAGAAAGCUGUGUGUGUGUUGAUCACUCAGUUCUGUCCGACUCUAUGCGACCCCAUGGACUUCAGCCCUCCAGGCUUUUCUGUCCAUGGGAUUCUCCAGGCAAGAAUACUGGAGUAGGUUGCCGUUCCCUUUCGCCAGGGGAUCUUCCUGACCCAGGGAUCGAACCCAGGUCUCCUGCACUGUAGGCAGAUUCUUUACCAUCUGAGCUACUAGGGAAAUCAAGAAAACUCUAAGUACAGAUAAAAUAAUAAAGUUGUGUUUUUCAAAUCAGAGUCAGCUGGAAGGUAUCUUAAGAUACAGCUUGCUGCCCCGUCCUUCUAAUGUUUCUGAUUCAGUGGGUCUGGGCGGGCCCUCCCCGGAGAAUUUGCAUGUCUCUCGGGUUCCCAGGUGCGGCUCCUCUCUGGGCUGGGGCAGGCUCUUACAGAACCAGCACGUGGUGGCAGUUGUUAUGAAUUCUUGACCCGUGAAAGAAAAGGUGAGGGGAGGAAGAGCGUCAGGUGCACUCUGGCUUCCUCCUCACCGCAGCAGGUGUUCUGACCUGGUUCCCCUGUGGGCUCGGACCCACCCAGAGGCGGACACAGGGCUUGGAGCCCUGGCGUGGGGAGGGGCGGAGGGGUCAGCUGCUGUCUCUUCUGUUAAUCUCGGGUGUGGACAGACCCUUUGAAGAGCACCCGAUCCCCGCUCCGCUUUACCGCCAAGAAUUAGGGAUGCGCAGGACGGGUUAGAAUGACCACUUAUAAACAGCAACAGUGUAGGGGUAGUUUUUCUUUUUUCUGGAACAUGUGCCAAUGGAAAAACAUGUGCUGAUCAUGUUAAAUCUCUUGCCUGGUGCUUUGGCUUCUUUCUUCCAGGCUUGAGAGUGGUUGUGAUCACCAGGUUACACCUUCUUACUUCCUAGGAUCCUUCUGAACUAGGCAUGCACCUUCAGCUGGGUUGUACCUAUCAACCAUUACCCAGCUCUUACUCCAGGACUCCGAACACUUUUUGUGGAACAGACUUUGCUGUGUCCGGUUCCUGGUGCCACCAUCCUCUGCACAGCAUCCUGUACCUGUAGAUUCUGCAGAAGCUCCUGCUUCAUUUCCUGCUGGAAUGGAAUGAUUCAGGAUCCCCCACUGUCCAUCAUCCCUGAGGGGGAGCAGUACUGAAGAAGAGCUUCUCAUGUUCCCCUUGACUCACCCCUAUGGACUUUGCUGGACUAAAAGAAGGUUGGCAUUCAUGCACUGUAAUUUCAUUGACACCAAAAAAAGCCUUUCCUUCACUCCCCUCACUUCCCCCAAACCCCAAGAAAACAAAAACAAACCCUCCCCUUUGUGUUAACCUGCUGAUAUACAACUCUUGGGGUUUUGUUCUUUUAAAUCAUCUAAAUGCAAAUUUUCUUAGAAGUCAUGAUAUUUAGAGCCUGAAAUUUGUCUGUCUGAACAAAUAAAAGAGUCUCAAUCUCCCCUCUGAGGUCCCUGUGUGAGGGAGGGCCUUAUAUAAUUGCUGAGGAGAAAAAGCAGCCCAGACUCUACUUAACCUACUUCUACAGUUUUGUUUUGAGCCCUUUUCGAGAGAGAGUGCAAGACCAGUUUCUCAUCAAACCCACAAAACUCAUAUUCUCAGACUUGGAGUUUUUUCUGUCCCCACCCCUACCUCACCCCACUUCCUCCCCACCUCUGUACUCCACCGUGGCAGGAAGGAAAGAUGGGACCUUUGCUGAGGGCUCAGGAGUGUGGUCUCAGAACCAGGGGGCCUGCCUUUCCAUCUAAGCGCUGACCCUCUCCAGCCAUGUGACCUUGGACAAGACACAUACUCUGUCUGGGCCUCAGUUUCCUCAUUUAUAUAUUUUGGGAACAAAAAUAGUUCUUAUUUCAUAGGAUUCGUUAAAGGUUUAAGAAUUAGUGCAUACAAAACGCUUAGAACUGUACUCAGAACCUAGAAAGCAUCAUCCACGUAGUCAGAUAACAGAGAGGAAAGCCCUGGUGUUGGCAUCAAGCCACCAGGGUCCGUACCCUGGUGCUGCUGCUUAUGACUGUGACCUUCAGCUAGAAACCCAAACCUCUCCGUCUCAGUUUGCUCCUUUGUAAAAGCAGAAUGUGUGCUAAGUCGCUACAGUUGUGUCUGACUCUGUGCAGCUCUAUGGCUUGUAGCCCACCAGACUCCUCCGUCCAUGGGAUUUUCCAGGCAAGAAUACUGGAGUAGCUUGCCAUUUGCUUCUCCAGGGGAUCUUUCCAACCCAGUAGACGAACCUGUGUCUCUUAUGCCUCCUGCAUUGGCAGGCAGGUCCUUUACCACUAGCGCCAUCUAGGAAGCCCGUAAAGGAGGAUAAUAGUAACCGUAUCAGGGGAUUGUUGAGAAGUUUAAAUGAGUUAAUAUUACAAAGCUUUUCAAUCAAACACACCAGGCACCAGUGAGCACUCAGUGUAAUUAUUAUUUUACUCUAUAGCAUGUUGACAUUGUACAAGGU
ensembl:lncRNA